rnacentral:misc_RNA from 1 species
GGUCACUUAUGAUACUGACAAUGAAAUUCAACAUCUGAAGUCUAGUAUAGAAGAUGCCGAGCUAACUUCUGCAACUCGAAGUCGUUACGUUGAGGGUUGGCAAAGAGCUCGAAUAGAGCAACACACUCAGACGAUUUCACACAAGGAGAUCGGACCGACACAGAUGAUUGAAGAACUUAAGAGGAAAGCCGACCAAGAACAACGCGUUCA